AGUAGUAAAAUCUCGGAAGUCCGAGGUCGAAUCCUCAGGGAACGAUCUAUAGAUUAUUAGCGUAAUUUUUAGAUGUAAUUUUCAGUUGAAUAAAUAUGUGGAUUAAGAUGAUGUUUUGAUUUUCAGAAAUUAAAAUCGAAGAACAAUAUAGCAAUAAACAAAGUUCAAUAAAAUAAAGAUGGUAGGGAUCUGGAAUCCCCCUUGAUGAUAUUGCAUCCAAGAAAUAAACUCUAUAGUUCUUGAUUAAAAAUGAAUGGUAAGAUAGAUCUAAUCAUGGUAUAUGUUUCAUGAACAUAUGAACUCAAUUUUUAAGCAUUCAUCGUGCUUUCUACGUCUACGACGAAUCAAAUACUAAAGCAAUCCAUACAUCAAUAAUCAUAAUCCAUUGAAGAGCUAUCUACGAAAUAACUAUGCAUGGAUCAAAAACAUAUCAGUAAAUAUAAUUCAUUCAAGGCAAAAGUUUAGAGUUUACUUCAAAGAGCAAUAC
rnacentral:lncRNA from 1 species